CGCACGAAAGCGUGGGGAGCAAACAGGAUUAGAUACCCUGGUAGUCCACGCCCUAAACGAUGUCAACUAGCUGUUGGGGCCUUCGGGCUCUGGUAGCGCAGCUAACGCGUGAAGUUGACCGCUCGGGGAGUACGUGGUCGCAAGAUUAAACUCAAAAGGAAUUGACGGGGACUCCACAAGCGGUGUGGAUGAUGUGAUUAAUCUUUUGGAUGCAACGCGAAAACCUUACCUACCCUUGACAUGUCUGAAUCCCGAAGAGAUUUGGGAGUGCUCGCAAGAGAACCGAACACAGGUGCUGCAUGGCUGUCGUCAGCUCGCCGAGAUGUUGGGUUAAGUCCCGCAACGAGCGGCAACCCUGUCAUUAGUUGCUACGAAAGGGCACCUAUCGAGAUCACGGUGACAAACCGGAGGAAGGGGGACGGUGACGUCAAGUCCUCAUGGCCCUUAUGGGUAGGGCUUCAACACGCUGUCAUACAAUGGUCGGGACAGAGGGUCGCCAACCCGCGAGGGGGGAGCCAAUCUCAGAAACCCGAUCGUAGUCCGAUCGCAGUCUGCAAUCUGACUGCGUGAAGUCGGAAUCGCCAGUAAUCGCGGAUCAGCAUGUCGCGGUGAAUACGUUCCCGGUCUUGGUAAGACACCGCCCGUCACCCAGUACGGGAGUGGGUUUUACCAGAAGUAGUUAGCCUAACCGUGGUAGAGGGCGAUUACCACGGUAGGAUUCAUGACUGGGGUGAAGUCGUACAAGGCAA
rnacentral:misc_RNA from 1 species